GAUGAACGCUGGCGGCGUGCCUCAAACAUGCAAGUCGAGCGGGGCUAUGUAAUAUCGCAAGGUAGAACAUAGCCUAGCGGCGAACGGGUGAGUAACACGUGGGUAACCUGCCUGGAAGACAGGGAUAACGAUUCGAAAGGGUCGCUAAUGCCUGAUAAUAUCCUUUCAUCGCAUGGUGAUAGGAAGAAAGGGGAAACCCGCUUUCAGAUGGGCCCGCGUCCCAUCAGCUAGUUGGUAAGGUAAAGGCUUACCAAGGCGACGACGGGUAGCCGGUCUGAGAGGAUGUACGGCCACACUGGGACUGAGAUACGGCCCAGACUCCUACGGGAGGCAGCAGUUGGGAAUCUUAGGCAAUGGACGAAAGUCUGACCUAGCGACGCCGCGUGAGGGAAGAAGGCCUUGGGUUGUAAACCUCUGUCAGUGGGGAAGAAGUAAGUGACGGUACCCAAGAGGACGCCCUGCUAACUACGUGCCA
rnacentral:rRNA from 1 species